CAGUCAUGCUAGUGAGGAAUCAACUUGAUGGUUUGUGGGUUCGCUCGCAUACUUUCCGGUGCACUUCCUCACUCGGCAGGUUAGCAUCAAUUUCGGUCAUCAUAAAAAAUUUAAGGGAAUGUGGCUUUUCUCGGAAAAGUGUUAUAGACCUUGAUCUAUGUGGUGACCGGGAUUGAGGAUUGCAGCGGAUACCCUUGUGGCUUAUCACCUUGCCUUCUGACGUAAUGGCUUUAAACGACCGUCUUCGAAACACGGACCAAGGAGUCUAACAU
rnacentral:rRNA from 1 species